UCCGGUGUGGUCUUGUGGUUAGGACUCCUAGUUUUCAUCCAGGCGGACCGGGUUCGAUUCCCGGAACCGGAA
rnacentral:tRNA from 1 species